UCAUACUCUUAUCACCAGUACUACAUGC
rnacentral:sRNA from 1 species